rnacentral:lncRNA from 11 species
GGUGGUUUUACUGUGUGUUUUGGCUUUUUAAAUUUAUCACAUGAAUCAAUCCUUAACCUUAAUAAAUGACAGAAUGGGAAGAAGUUCUGAAGACAUGUGAGACAUUACUAAAGAACAGUGAAGCCAAGCUCCCUGAUACAAACAUCUACCAGAUGAAAAUGCUUGAUCUUGCCAUGGAUGCCUGCAUAAAUCUUGGCCUUUUGGAGGACGCCCUGCAUUAUGGUCACAAAACUGUGGAGCCUUACAGGUUUUAUUAUUCUGGUGCCCAUCCUUUGAGAGCAAUCCAGAUGAUGAGAGUGGCAAAGUUGCAGUACAACCAAGACAUGUUUUCCCAGGCCUUGGAAACCUUGAAAGAGGCUUAUGAUAUUAUGAAAGUGACCCAUGGGACAGAGCAUAGCCUAGUGCAAGACUUGAUGAUGCUUAAGGAAGAAUGUGAGGCUGGCUUGCAAUUGGAAUGAAGAAGACCUACAAAUCACUGUCGGGUUUUGGGGUGGGGGGGAGAGACAACAGAAAAGACAGAAAACAGCAAAUGCCUUUCCAGACAGCCCAUAUGAAAUCUUCCUACAUGUAUACAAAUCCCAUUAAUAGGAGUGCAGUAGGAAAAGAUUCCAUUUGUUUUGAAGUAUAAGCUCUCUAUUAUUACCUUCUGGUAAUUUUCCAAGUGAUAUUUCUUACCACUUGACAUUCUAACAUGAAGUGUGCUCCCUGCAGUUCAAUGUACUGAGAAAGAAAUCUGGACAGUCACGGUAUUAUUAAAUAUGUAGAAAAUGAA